GUUUAGCCCUGAUCGAAGUGGAAAUUUUGCAGGAUGAAAUGAUAUUGUUUUUUGGCUUAAAAGAGCGACCGCAGGAAGCUACUUUUUAGGCAUUAAAACAAAUCAUUUUGACAAAAAAAUUGCAAUGAGAGCGGGAUUGGCU
rnacentral:sRNA from 1 species